GUCUACGGCCAUGCCAUCCUGAACAAGCCCGAAGCUGAUCUCAGAAGCUAAGCACGGUCAGGCCUGGUUAGUACUUGGAUGGGAGACCACCUAGGAAGACCAGGUCUUAUAGACA
rnacentral:rRNA from 1 species